rnacentral:rRNA from 1 species
GACGAACGCUGGCGGCGUGCCUAACACAUGCAAGUCAACUUGACUGAAGUAGCAAUCUGACAGUAGAGUGGCGCAAGGGUGCGUAACGCGUAAGUAACUUGCCCCAAGGUAAGGAAUAGCGUCGAGAAAUCGGCGCUAAUACCUCAUAAUGCAGCGGAUCCGCAUGGAUAUGUUGUUAAAGGUUUACCGCCUUGGGAUAGGCUUGCGUCUGAUUAGCUAGUUGGUGUGGUAACGGCACACCAAGGCUACGAUCAGUAACUGGUCUGAGAGGAUGAUCAGUCACACUGGAACUGAGACACGGUCCAGACUCCUACGGGAGGCAGCAGUGAGGAAUAUUGGGCAAUGCUCGAAGAGUGACCCAGCAACGCCGCGUGGAGGAUGAGGGUAUUCUAUAUCGUAAACUCCUAGUGAGAGCAGACGAAAGACAGAUUAUUAAUCUGGAUGACUGUAUGCUCAGAGGAAGCCCCGGCUAA